GUAGCCAGGGAUGAUUUGCCUGUGGUUCCUGUCGUUGCCAUGCCAAUGCCUGUACUGUUCGAUCUACGGGCAAAUCAUCCCUGCUACCG